rnacentral:rRNA from 1 species
CAGGUCUUGACAUCUGGCGAAUCCUGUAGAAAUACGGGAGUGCCUUUUAGGAGCGCCAAGACAGGUGGUGCAUGGUUGUCGUCAGCUCGUGUCGUGAGAUGUUGGGUUAAGUCCCGCAACGAGCGCAACCCCUGCUAUUAGUUGCUAACAUUAAGCUGAGCACUCUAAUGGGACUGCCUGUGACAAGCAGGAGGAAGGUGGGGACGACGUCAAAUCAUCAUGCCCUUUAUGAUCUGGGCUACACACGUGCUACAAUGGGUGGUACAGAGAGCAGCGAGACCGUGAGGUGGAGCGAAUCUCAAAAAGCCAUUCUCAGUUCGGAUUGAAGUCUGCAACUCGACUUCGUGAAGUCGGAAUCGCUAGUAAUCGCGAAUCAGCAUGUCGCGGUGAAUGCGUUCCC